UGGGGAAUAUUGCACAAUGGGCGCAAGCCUGAUGCAGCCAUGCCGCGUGUAUGAAGAAGGCCUUCGGGUUGUAAAGUACUUUCAGCGAGGAGGAAGGCGUUGUGGUUAAUAACCGCAGCGAUUGACGUUACUCGCAGAAGAAGCACCGGCUAACUCCGUGCCAGCAGCCGCGGUAAUACGGAGGGUGCAAGCGUUAAUCGGAAUUACUGGGCGUAAAGCGCACGCAGGCGGUCUGUCAAGUCGGAUGUGAAAUCCCCGGGCUCAACCUGGGAACUGGAUCCGAAACUGGCAGGCUAGAGUCUUGUAGAGGGGGGUAGAAUUCCAGGUGUAGCGGUGAAAUGCGUAGAGAUCUGGAGGAAUACCGGUGGCGAAGGCGGCCCCCUGGACAAAGACUGACGCUCAGGUGCGAAAGCGUGGGGAGCAAACA
rnacentral:rRNA from 1 species